rnacentral:ncRNA from 2 species
GGUCACGAAGCCGAUCGCGCCCCUGGACGAUCAUCGGCUGGCAACCUCGCACACCGCGCAAGGUGCCUUCCAGGGAAGACCGGGCCCCCACUGUCCAGUUGGGGGUAAGCGCGGAUC